rnacentral:rRNA from 1 species
UACGUAGGGUGCAAGCGUUAAUCGGAAUUACUGGGCGUAAAGCGUGCGCAGGCGGCUUUGCAAGACAGAUGUGAAAUCCCCGGGCUUAACCUGGGAACUGCAUUUGUGACUGCAUGGCUCGAGUGCGGCAGAGGGGGAUGGAAUUCCGCGUGUAGCAGUGAAAUGCGUAGAUAUGCGGAGGAACACCGAUGGCGAAGGCAAUCCCCUGGGCCUGCACUGACGCUCAUGCACGAAAGCGUGGGGAGCAAAAGGG